UACGUAGGUGGCAAGCGUUGUCCGGAUUUACUGGGCGUAAAGAGCGCGUAGGCGGUUCGUUUAAGUCCUGUGUGAAAUCCCCCGGCUCAACUGGGGAACUGCACAGGAAACUAGGCGGGCUUGAGUUCGGGAGAGGGAAGCGGAAUUCCGGGUGUAGCGGUGAAAUGCGUAGAUAUCCGGAGGAACACCGGUGGCGAAGGCGGGUCUCUGGGCCUAACUGACGAGGAGCGAAAGCAUGGGGGAGCGAACAGG
rnacentral:rRNA from 1 species